GGGACAGGUCCCGCCGCUGCCUCCGUGCGCGCGCUUUGCUGGGCUGGGGAAGCCAAGGCACAGAGUAUCAGGCCCGCUGAGCAUCUCAGUUCAUCAGAGGAGCCAUUAGAGUCUUCCUCAAGACUGAAAACAUAAGUGAGAGUGUGUCUUGAAGUGCUGCAACAGAGGAUGAGGAAAAGAUUAGCAUGUGAAAUUCUACCUACCAAAUAGUGAAGCUGCAAAGUAAGGAAGACUUGAAUGGCCUUCCAUCUUCAAAGAAGUGCCUUGAGCUCUGGAAUGCAACAAAGUGGGAGAAACCACUAAACACCAGGAAAUGUCAACAAUGAGGGGGGAAUGCAUGGGCAGGUGGAUAGAGCAUUUCUAGGCAUUUUCUCAGACAAGGCAACCAAUUCAGCUCAACAAGAAAAUGGGUCUUUUUCCCACAGAAACUAAUUUAACUGAUUUUUGAAACACAUUGAUAACAGCAUUAGCAUAAAUUUAAAUACAUGCUUACCAGGCUGUUCUUUGUUAUGUUGUUAUGCAAGUGACUUGGUUGACAAAUUAAUAAUUGUGAUUACUAAAUAAGAACUAAAUUUCCAAUAAUCUGAACAUUUGGUCCUAAUAGGAAGCUUUAGGCCUUGACUUAUUAAAGCAUUAAAAAAGAUGUAAGGUCAAACUAAUUUCAGUAGCUAAAGUGUACUUAUACUUAUUUGUAGUGUAUUUGAAGCUAAACUUAAAAGAAAGGAUAAAUGUUCCCAAAUGUUUUAUGCCUAUGGUAGCAAUUGGUAGUUAAAUUUGUUCUAAGCACACAAUAUGAAAAGAGAAUAAAUAAUUAAUAAUCUAUAAUUGAUAAGAUUCAUUGUAAAUAUAAUAGGUAUUAGAUGGCAAAUUCAGCAACUAAAAAAUAGUAUUUUAUAUGCAAAUGUGAAGAGACAAACUUAUAUCUUGUAUGUUUCUUUUAACCUUAACUUUCAGGAAUAAUCAUCAUCAGUAUCUUGAUAAGUUUUCUUAGGCAAAAAGUCAAAAUGUUCUUCUAGUAAAUCUGAAUUUACUAGCUUGUUGAAUUUCCACAAGAAGCCCCCUAAUUAGGAAUUGUCAAAGGUAAAUACAUAACGUGUUGUUUAUAAAUCUUGAUAUUAUAUAUGUUAAUAUUAUUAGCUAUUAUAAAACAUAAGGCAUUCAAAAAUCAACAUCAGAUUAAUCUUAUAUGUCAAAUCCUCUAAAUGUAUAUGGCACUUAAUUUAUAAUGAAAAAAAUUUUAAAGAACAAUUUCUAUGAAUAUGUACUUACAUUUUAGAAUAUAGUCUUUUAUUUUAAAAAUAUAAUCACAAAAUAUCUUUUACUAAUUUAGCUACGAAGAAACAGUUUCAAGGAAUUGCUUUCUAUGCUGCACAAACACACACACUCUUGCACACACACAUACACAUGCCUAUUUUCAGAAUUUUCCAAAUAGCAAUUAUUUUCUUAGAUUUAUAGUCUAUAAUGCCUGGCAUUUUUGGUAUCAAAAAAAAUAUACUUUUUGUUUCCAUUUAAGUAAUUUUAGUCUAAAAACACUUGCUAAUCAUAACUACACAGCAAAGGUUUGUUAUGUAAACAUUUUACUUUAUUAUCAGCCUUUGUUUUGCAAUACAAUGCUUUAAAAAUAUCCUCUGUUGUAUAAAGGACAUUGUUGCAAAAAGGCAGCUCAAAACUUGUCCUUCCCUUCCUUUCAUUGAUCUGUUGCCUCUUAGGCAAUAUGAACAGCUGUCUCCAGCUCACCCACAAGCAAGCUGAACAUAAUAAUAAGGUAGUGUUACUGGCCUGAAUCUAUGAAUGAUUAUACAAAGGGUGCCAGCUCUUUUUCAUUAAAGAUAAGGUAACAAAGAUAACAUAGAGAAGAAAACUGGUUAGCAAAGCAAGCAUGUGCUUCUGCCUUGAAGAUUUAGUUAUUCCUCUGGUAACCACUGAGUUUCUCUUUCAUUGGGUUUCCAAUAAGGUGAAGGUGCCCUCUGUAGGAGACUCCCAGUAAAUGCCGCUUUUUUAUAUUUGGGUGACAAAAGGCAAGUUCUGCCCCCCACCUCCAAUUUGCAAAUAAACAAAUAAAUAAUCACAGAACUCUGUGUGAGCAGAAGCUUGAACUCUAUGAAUCUUAGAGAGAAAUUAGUAUAAAUCCCACAAUGAUCUAUGUAAAUGCGGUUGCUUGUUCAAAAUGGGAGAAAUGGAACAGUGAGCAAGCUGUACAGCAUGUUGGUGUUUAAUAUUUAUUGACACUGUGAUAUGUUAUAGGAUCAGCUUUAUAAAUUCAGAGGUGAGGCAAAAAGAGAAACAUAGAUGGUCUUUGGCGUAGUUGAGUGAAAAAUGGAUCUAAACAGAAAAAUCCACAUACAGAGAGACACAUUCACCACCUAAUAAAUAUACCUCCCCAAAAGGCCUUCUUAUCUUCCCUUCUUAUAAAGGUUACCAUAAUGCAGAUUCAUUAUCAGUCCCACUGGGUAGCAUAUAGCUCAGUAAGAAAUUGCUUUUGUUAGCAUGCUCAUAGAAAGAGAUUAGCUAUUUCAUCAGAUCUCUUGGGGCUAUUUGAAAUUUUGGGAAUUCUGUCUGUAAUUUAAAAUGGAAGUUAAAGCCAAUGCGAAUAGACUAGGGAAAAUCUCACAAAUUAAACCUCUCCAUCUGGAAGUUUCUUCAUCACUCAUUGCAAAAGUACAAGCUGAAAUCGCAUUUGUUACAGGCAGGAGAGAGAUUUCAUCACUGAUGAUGCAAUUACAAUUAUACUAAUGUUUUAAUAAUUAAUAUUUUGGUUGCAAAGAAACAUUUAAUAUGGAAAUGAUAAACAGUGUUUUGGAUUUUUUUUGUCUUUAUUAACUUUGCAUAUUAGUUAGAUUUUAUCACUGAAAUCAUCUCUUAUGUACGUUAUUUAAACUAUGACUUUAGCCUCUAUGGAAUGUGUGCAGGAGAGUCUAGAAUCACCUGUAUUACAAGUUAGGGGAUGAACAAGUGGGCAUGGAGGCAUAAGAGAAGAGGGAUUAUUUGCAUCCUCUUACCUAUCAGAAUUCAUUUAUCCUCAGUAUCUGCUCAAACAAACAUCCCCUUCUUUGUCAAUCCAUUUUCCCAUAUCAUUGGCCACUUAACCUCAACAACAACAUUUUAGAUUACUAUGUACCAAGCACUGUGUGAGCACUGUCCUAGAUAGUUUAUGUGGAUUAUCUCAUUUAAUCCUCAUAAUACAUAAGAAAGGCAAUUUUUCUUAUCCCAGUACGAAAAAGAGGCAUCUAAAGUUUGGCUGAUUACAUUACUUGCCCAAGCCUACUCCACAGCCUGCUUUCUUUUCCCCAGGGAUACCACUCCCUUCUGACCUCACUUAUUUUCUCACCUGAUUGUUUUUCACAUGUUCAGUUUAUUUGUGCUCCUGUCUUCCUAAUACAACUGCCUAGUGAAUUCCCAGCCAGCAGUGACACAGCUAUCUGCCAUGCUACUUAUGACUGAGCAUUGCUAAAGACUCUCCCACAGUUAUGCAGAAUUGUAUCCUUAAUUACUUACGACUCUUAGUUGCAAGCUUUAAAAUUUAAGCUAGUUUAUCUUGAAAGGGGCUGAAUAAGCUCACGUCAUCACAUCAAUAGAAGUCAGGGCUCCAGUUGGUCUCAGAGAUGAUUUUGAUCGGAGAGUCAAAUGUUUCCUCACAUCAUCUCUAAUUUCUGAAGACAUGUUUGUCAGGGUAUCUUCUUCAGUUCAUCAGUUUAGGUUCUACACAACUGGAUUCAUGGUUUCUAAGAGGAAUCAUGCACACUGCUUCUAAUUCCAGCACCCAAGGACACAAAUCCAAGGAAAAACUCUUAUUGGGUCACCUUGGAACAGGUGCAUAUUUCUGGAUGAAGAAAUUCAUCAAGGGCAUUAUCGGGUAGUGGUUAAGAAUGUGUGGAAUGCCGCUGGGUGUGGUGGCUCACACCUGUAAUCCCAACACUUUGGGAGGUUGAGGCGGGUGGAUCACGAGAUCAGGAG